rnacentral:lncRNA from 1 species
CCCUCCGAGACAUACUUCAUAUCCUACAUAUCCCUAGGUUCAUAGUUACUGUACACCUUCUGCACAAUAUUUGACAGGGUGAUAAAAUAUGGUUGAUAAAUAUGUUGCUGUGAACCUUGGCUUAUCAAGUGAUGGAGCUUUGACAGGGCGAACCUAGGCACACCAGGUCAUUUACUUAGGAGACGAGCACUCCACUAUGCUGUUUCUCAAUGUCUCAUU